rnacentral:lncRNA from 1 species
CCCCCCGCUUGAUGGCUGCUGCCCCCCUGGCGUUGGCGGCCGGCGCCCAGGCCCCGCGGGGACGCGCGUUCUGCUCCGCGCCCUUCCCAGCUCCGCGGAAAGGGAGACACCGCCGGAACCGGGCGCCCCUGCGCUCCGAAUGCUAGAGACGCUUUAGCCCGGAGCGCCCUCGAAUAAAUACACUCUGAGGGUGUAAGUGUGGAGGGAUCUACUGGGGGCUGAGAAAAGGGCUUCCAGUCCCCCGCCUGGCCCCUGGGCCUCCCUUUCCUCCACCCUCUAGCAGGUCAGAGACUGGGAAGCCGCCGAAGCUGGAACCCACCUUGGGGGUUGGCAAGGUCUCCUGCGGCCCCUCAGGGGCACUGGCCGCGCCCUGCCCCUCCCCCCACACACCCUGCCAAAUUCACCCUGGCCUGGGCCAACUCCCCUUCCCGGGAGAGGUGGGCGUGCAUGGUUCUCUUUCCUUGCAAGUGUGUCCUUGUCGGCCAAGAAGAAGGCCGAAACUGUCAACUCCACCUCUGCCUUCACCCCUCAUGUCACUGUCCUCGAUGUGCGUGGGUGAGCUGGAAACUAGCGCCCACCCCAGGCGGGUACCCUGCUCGGCUAGGGCGUCAGGAUCCCUGAGACGUAAACAGGAUUUCGGGUUUAGGACACCUGCCACCCGGGAGAAGGGAAGAUGCCGCUCUCGGACCUCACAGGCCGUCCUUGCAGGAAUGGGUCGCAGGGAAGGACCAGCCUAAUGAGGAGACUGACGGUGGAAACUCCAGGGAAAGCCCCAAUUAUUACACAGAGGAAACUGAGACAGAAAGGAAUGAUGUUGUUGCAGUGUUGGGAACAGAACUCAGAGCCUUACUCAAGACAGAAAGCAGAGACGGGAAAGAAUUCUGGGGCCCGCGGCCAAUCCCCUCCUCGAGGGCAGAGGGACCAAGAGCACCCAUUUUCCAAGCCCACCCACCCAGAAGCGUUGAAAGGGGGUGCAUUUCCUCUGUGGCGCCGCAGAACGGGGAGUCGGCGAUGAGGGGUCCCUCGCGCUUCGCCUGGCUCCAGGGGCGCAGCUCCAGACGCCGAGGGGCAGGAGGGGUGGCGAGUGACCAGCAGGGGGGCGCCCCAGCCCCAGCC